CACCUCUCCACCCCAUCCUCAUUCACCCCUACUAGCUCCCAGUAGCGCUGCGGCGCAGCCUCUGCCACUACCUCGCUGAGAGGAGCAAGUUCUGCUCGCGGUCACCGCGACGCAAGGUGACGAGCAAGAACCGCUGGUAGCCGCCGCCAUCGUCGGCCGUACGAGAAGCUCGCCGGAGAAGAAGCCGUUCGUACUGCCGUCUGGAGGAGUAGUUGAUCGAGCUGGACGUCAAGCUGCGUUUCCCCGAUAUACCACCACCUCGCUGACCCUCCGCGUCAUCCACGACGGCUCGUUCCGGCCGACGAGGAGCUUCCGUGCCGCCCUGCUCCUGCGCCCGUCGAGCAUCGCCUGCCAGAAACCCGGUCGUCCGCGCCGUCGACCAAGAGCACGCCAGCACCAACGAGGCGGGCAAGUUCACUGCGCCGGAGUAUCCGCCUAAACUUCCCCGUCGAGCUUCGGCCGACCUAGCCUCCCAGAUUCGGGCAUUAUCGAGUUUUAAGGAGAAGAAGGAUUCGAAGAAUUUGAAGAAGUCCAGGGACAAAUAAGCCAAUCAAGGCAAGCCAUCUUUUGAUCUCUUGCUAUUUAUCUUUCUUGUUGUGCUCAUUGCUCCAUUAUAUACUUGGUUCCUUGUAUC